GUCCACGCUGUAAACGAUGAAUACUAGGUGUGGGAGGACUGACCCCUUCCGUGCCGCAGUUAACACAAUAAGUAUUCCACCUGGGGAGUACGACCGCAAGGUUGAAACUCAAAGGAAUUGACGGGGGCCCGCACAAGCAGUGGAUUAUGUGGUUUAAUUCGACGCAACGCGAAGAACCUUACCAGGGUUUGACAUCCAACUAACGAAGUAGAGAUACAUUAGGUGCCCUUCGGGGAAAGUUGAGACAGGUGGUGCAUGGUUGUCGU
rnacentral:rRNA from 1 species